UCGGGAGGAUUCGGUGCUGAAGGGAAGCCGAAGAGUGAACUACCUGGGAAGUAUAGUCGCAAGGUCGAAACUUAAAGGAAUUGGCGGGGAGACAUACAACGAGUGACGCGUGCGGUUCAAUUAGAUUUUACACCGUGAACCUCACCAGGAGCGACAGCAGGAUGAAGGUCAGUCUGAAGGGCUUACCUGACACGCUGAGCGGAGAUGCAUGGCCGACGUUAGCCUGUGUGGUGACAUGACCUGUUAAAUCAGGUAACAGGCGAGACCCGUGUCAUUAAUUACUACAGAAAUGGGUACAUUAAUGAGACUGCUCUGGUAACAGAGAGGAAGGUGCGGGCUACGUUAGGUGAGUACGUCCCUAAUCCCCUGGGCGACACGCGCGCGGCAAUGGUACGUUCAAUGAGAUGCGACUCCGAAAGGAGAAGCUAAUCCCCUAAAGCGUAUCUCAGUUCAGAUCGAGGGUUGCAACCCACCCUCGUGACGUUGGAAUUCGUAGUAAUCGGAUUUUAGCACAGUCCGGUGAAUAAGUCCCUGUCUCUUGCACACACCGCCCGUCAAACCAACCGAGUUGUGUAGGGGUGAAGUUCGUUAGAGAAGAACCUUUUCACGACAAGGUAGGUUAAGUCGUAACAAGGUAGCC
rnacentral:rRNA from 1 species